rnacentral:rRNA from 1 species
UACGUAGGGACCAAGCGUUGUUCGGAUUUACUGGGCGUAAAGGGCGCGUAGGCGGCGUGACAAGUCACUUGUGAAAUCUCCGGGCUUAACCCGGAGCGGUCAAGUGAUACUGUCGUGCUAGAGUGCGGAAGGGGCAACUGGAAUUCUCGGUGUAGCGGUGAAAUGCGUAGAUAUCGAGAGGAACACCUGCGGCGAAGGCGGGUUGCUGGGCCGACACUGACGCUGAGGCGCGAAAGCCAGGGGAGCGAACGGG